AAUUGAUAUUGUUUUUCACGAAGUUCAUCUCUUUCCUUAGUGUUUGUUUCUCCUUUAGUCUUAUGAGAAAAUGAGACGAUUUCGGAUAUUUGAUUAUAGUCUCAGAGAAGAAGCAUCAGCAGUAGUGUUUCUGCCACUCGUAAAGGCGAUCUUGUGUUCGUUGUCAAUCCUAAAGGGUGCCAAUGGAAGAACUGGUAAGGAAUGGAAAAAAUUAUUACCCUAUUUAAGGAUUCAUCUUGGUCAACAUCGAAAUAUUUUUGAAAUUGCAAGGGAGAAAUUUUCAAUUUUUUCUCUGAGCAUUUGGUUACUAGGAUUUCAAUGAGCUGCAGAUUUUUUUUCUUUUCUUUUUGGUUGCAGUCGGAGGCGAUGGUACUCCUUUCAUGAGGUUGUAAAUCGCCUCUUCUGGGCAGAAAUACCUGUUUCAGCUCACAAUGAGGGGAACAAUCAUGCAACUUUCCUUCGUAGCAGUAUACAUCACUGCUCAGCAUCCGUACAUGUGCUGAUGGAAGAAUGGUUGCCUGGACAGCUCUUGCUCAACAUCGAAACAGUACCAAUACUCUUUCUUUGGUACAAAACAAGCACUUGGUUUUAACCUUCAUGGUUGUGGCUCAGGACCUUUCUGGUAUUGUAUCCAGCUGGAAUUACCUGCGAAGAUGGUGUAAUAUGUAUCUUUCUGCACUACAUAAAGGUAAUGAAUUCAAUCCUAUUCCGCGUGUUUGAUUUAUCAAUGUUUACAUUGACAUUUAUCAGCAAAGAAAAACCUUCAGUCAUUAACAAUGUCAUACUCUUCUAGAGAGAUUUUUGGGGUCUCCUAGAAUGAACUCACACGGCCGGGAACACUUCCUUAAUGUCUAAAACUCAUUGCCCAAAGUUUAGUUCUUAGUCAUGCAAGAACUCCGUGGACAACUGCAGAUAGAGAAAAACUACCUUAACUCGGGAAUGGAUAACAUUUAGUCCUACUGGCGAUUUAUCAGUGCUUACUUGUUUGCAAUUGGGUGAAUUUGCUGGUUAAUGGAGACGUCAUAAUAAGCUUAAAUUUUAUCUGGUUGGUGAAAUUUGUAAAAGGAGUUAUUAAUUGGGAAAUCGACAAAGGAACCUGUUCUUAGGCCGAGUCUAGUGGUCAUAUCCAAUUCAAGAUUCAACUUACCAAUCCACAUCAGCUUGAAUUGGAAACUGUGUCUAGUGGUUAGAAGAAUUCCAAGCGCUAAACCAUUUAGCGCCAACAAGUCCUGCCCAUUGAUCUCUAACCACUAAAAAAUCAAUGGCCGAGAUUGUUUUGUGCUAAAUGGUUUAGUGAAAUAGCAAAAACCUUUCGCUAAUCAUCCCAUGCUUCUUCUCUGAUUCAGGCUUCCCCUUGAACCAGAAGUUGAAACAAAUUAAGGAAUACACCACUGUUUUUGAAGUUGAAUGACCACUAGAUUCAGUCAUAUACUUUCUAUUGCUUGCUUAUUGUAGUACAAGUUGAUAAAUUUUAUAAUAUGCUGGAACUUUGUGGGCUGUUAAAUAAUAAUGGUGGUGCUAGAGGAGAAAGUGAAAUCAGAACUAGUUCGGCCACAAGAAUCUGAGAUUUAACUUUUAAAGAGAUAGCUACUCCUACUGCCAAGGAAAACACGAAGGAUAAAAAAGACAACCGCUGGGAGCUAGGCCAUCCACUGGUUGUUCUAGCUUGUACAUCCUUAAGCAGAGGAGAAAGUGAAAUCAGAUCUGGCUAGGCUACAAGAAUACUCCUAUUGUCUGUCUGUAAAGCUCAAGAUUUUUCCAGGGAAAAGAAGAACGAGAAAAAAGACCAGCUCCGUGAGUUAAGCCAUGUAUUUUGUGUGUUCUAGAUUCUACAUCUGCGAGGAUUGUACCAAAGGUCUUCCGUUCUUUUAUGUGUUUCCCUAGGUGCUUCAGUAAUUUUAUAUGUAUUUGGUUGCUAUUUGCUAUAGCUUGCAGUGGCACUUAACGUGAAUUAGCACUCCAUCCUGUAGUAAAUUGCAACAACUUUUUCACCUUUUCAUAUAUGCAGAGUGUAAAAUUUGUCCUUUGGAUUGCGAACA